rnacentral:rRNA from 1 species
GACGAACGCUGGCGGCGUGCCUAAUACAUGCAAGUAGAACGCUGAAGGAGGAGCUUGCUCUUCUGGAUGAGUUGCGAACGGGUGAGUAACGCGUAGGUAACCUGCCUGGUAGCGGGGGAUAACUAUUGGAAACGAUAGCUAAUACCGCAUAAGAGUAGAUGUUGCAUGACAUUUACUUAAAAGGUGCAAUUGCAUCACUACCAGAUGGACCUGCGUUGUAUUAGCUAGUUGGUGGGGUAACGGCUUACCAAGGCGACGAUACAUAGCCGACCUGAGAGGGUGAUCGGCCACACUGGGACUGAGACACGGCCCAGACUCCUACGGGAGGCAGCAGUAGGGAAUCUUCGGCAAUGGACGGAAGUCUGACCGAGCAACGCCGCGGGAGUGAAGAAAGUUGUCGGAUCGUAAAGCUCUGUUGUAAGAGAAGAACGAGUGUGAGAGUGGAAAGUUCACACUGUGACGGUAUCUUACCAGAAAGGGACGGCUAACUACGUG